CUUGUUUUUGGCGCGCAAAGUACUACCAUGAAUUUUAACUACAAUAUAUAUUUCCUCUAAUACGUUGUAGCCUCGAUAAAUUACGGUUCUUUACUCGACACUCAGGUCUUAAGGUUCCGCCGGUGGGUUAAAGAUAACCUGUUGUCAGCUGAGGGAUUAUUUGAGUCUGUUAUUUCAGCCCAUUCAGCUAACAAUGUACUGGCCAUUUGAGGAAUUGGAAAGUGAAAUGGAAACUGACAACAGGCAGACUGCUGGUCAAAAAAGACAGAGAGGUUUGGACUCCAGUGAUUCAGAGAGCUCAAGUUCAGAGAGCUCAAGUUCAGAGACUGAUGACACAGAUUCCGAAUCUGAUGGGAGCUCUGACACAGACACAGACAGUGAUCCAGAUGAAUAGGACUCUGGAUUUUUAGAUAGGAAACCUGUUAGAGCCAAACCAAAAGUUUCCAAGAAAACCACCACCAAAAAUCAGAAAGCUGGAGUUUCCAAUAAGACAAAUAAAAAGGAGAAGAAUGGAAAAGAUGCAUACCAGAAAAUACCUGCCAAAAAGCCAAGAACUCAACCCAGUAAAAGAAUGAAUAGCAAGGUGAAUAAAGUGAAAGUUACCUGUCAAGAACCACACGCUAAAACUGUAAGACCUCAAGCUUUAAAAAAAAGCAGUGACUGGGAGAAUGAUAUUGGAGGUACAUCCGCACAAACAGUCAACGGUCAAAAAGGGAAGGCAAAUAAACCAAGAAAGAGCAAAAAGAAGGUGAAAGAGGGCGUACCAGAAAUGGAUGAGUUAGAAGGAUUGGGUAGAGAUAUUGGAAAGAAGUGGAAAACUCUGGGGAGACGCCUUAAAGUAUCAGAGGAACUGGAUUCUAUUGAUGCGAUGUAUGAUAACCCUAACGAUAAAGCCUUCGAGAUGCUUAAACACUGGACUCAGAAAAAAGGAUCCUCUGCGACGUACAGAAUUUUAAGCGGUGCUUUAAAAGACAAACUUUUAGAACGAAAAGACUUAUCAGAAAAGUACUGUUAUGGUUCACAUACAUAACAAUGCUUUUCCUGUUCUUUAACUCUGUCUAAUGUGCUGGGCAAUGAGCAGUUUUAGUAUACGCUUUCUUUGCUCGCGGUUUUCUUUUUCUUUGAGUUACACUUGUCGCUUUCUUUAAAGGAUUUUGAAACGCACGUCCAAGCUCAUAACCGAGUUGUUUUCAUAACCAAAAAAGCUGCUUAGGAGUCAGAUUUAUGUAGCAGCUAAUUAACGUACGGUACGCUCUGGCUGUACAGAAAACAGGAAAUUUCAGUACUGUGAGCAAGAGUGUUGUUUUGUGGUCGAAUUCUUGAUUUCCAAAUUGAUCGCUCUGCCUUAAGAUAGCGACUACUUUUUAAAAGAAUAGAAACGGAAAGGGCAAUUUGCCCGGGGCUCGACACUAAUGGUACCCAGCUAGCCACAGGCUAGUAGAAAUUUAGUUUUUGCUGGUGUUUUUCAAUUUCCU